UAACUCCGGUAUCUCCUCAUUUGCGGAUAAAUCUUUUGCCUUUUACUAAAGAUUUCCUUUGGGGGGGGGACACAAAGUGCGUCGGUGGUACAGUGGUUAGGACGCCCGCUGACCAUGCACAUGGUCU
rnacentral:snRNA from 1 species